rnacentral:lncRNA from 1 species
GUCCGCGGUUCUGUGUGAUUGGCAUACUGUCCUGCCCACACAGGUAAGCUGUUAUGGUUCAAAAAUAUGCUGCCUGAACCUCAGCACCAAUCAGUGCGUGCAGGGGGCGGGGCUCACUCUUCCUGUUAGGUUGGUAGGAUAGAGGGUAAAAUAUACCAAGAGAGGGAUCCAAUCCGGUUUGAGCUAGUUCUGGUACUGCUUGGACCUUUUAUGCAAAGUCCCAGAGCGCUCUGGAGGUGUGGGACUGAUACACGUAUCAAAGACUGUGAAAACCCGUGUUGUUUUAUUCCUCGUGUCCUGUAAACCUUGAGCAACAAUGGGCAAAAAGAAAGGUUGCUCCAGCGCAGAGCAUGAGGGUCCUCCACAAGAACCCAGGAGGUCUGGUAGGCUUUCAAAUAACUUAAAGCCUCAACCAGAGAAGGUUAAGAGCGCCAAGGCUAAACCAGAGAAGGUUAAGGGACCUCCUAAAAAGAAGCCAAAGGUGACCGAAAACGCUUGCGCCGAGGAGAGCAAAAAAGAAGAAAAGACAGAGGACAAAACUCCUGCAGCAGAAAAUGGAGACAAAAAGCCUGACGAGGCUACCGCAGAAGAGGAAAAGAAGGAAGAUGACAAUGAGGACACAGGUGAAGAGGAAGAGGAAAAAGGUCCUGAGUAAUCGUCAAACCACAUGACCUACAUUCCAGAACUUCCUGUACCUCCUUAGAUGUAAAAUGCAGAGAUUAUUUUUGUCUACUAUUUUCCUAAGAUAGGAAGGUUUUUAGGGAUGUUGAUUGCUUUGAAAUAUGCUACAAUUCCAUAGACUUCUGUCACCUUUGUGAAGGGAACAAUUUCUUGUGAUCUUAUUGGUUUUUUUACACACUAAGUUUUUCUUCAUUCUUUUUUUCUUUUUUUUUUUUGCAUGACUUGCUAAAGCAUCUCGGGAAUGGUUGACUUUUAAGACAUUGUGAGGUGUCAUGUAACCUCGACUGUUGUAUUUGUAAUGUACAUUUAUAAUUGUGUCAUGACUCAAAAGUUGUAUUCUGUGCUCAAAGCAUUUACUUCAAUGACGGUCGGAAAACUAAAUUUAAUUUGCAUUUGUUUUUAAGGUACAUUCAUCCAUUUCAUGAUAAGAGUUGCUUGGCUAGUUCAUUUUUACAUUUUUGAUGGUGCAUCCUUUUAGGAUAUCUGUAGGGUUUUGGGGUUUCUUGACAAAUGUACAGUUUCUUUUUUUUUUUCUUUUUACUUAAAAUGUUUUAAACAAUGUAAAAUGCCAAUUAAAAAGGGGAUUUUCAAAUUGUU